rnacentral:rRNA from 1 species
CCUACGGGAGGCAGCAGUGGGGAAUAUUGGGCAAUGGGCGCAAGCCUGACCCAGCAACGCCGCGUGAAGGAAGAAGGCUUUCGGGUUGUAAACUUCUUUUCUCAGGGACGAAGCAAGUGACGGUACCUGAGGAAUGAGCCACGGCUAACUACGUGCCAGCAGCCGCGGUAAUACGUAGGUGGCAAGCGUUAUCCGGAUUUACUGGGUGUAAAGGGCGUGUAGGCGGGAAAGCAAGUCAGAUGUGAAAACCAUGGGCUCAACCUGUGGCCUGCAUUUGAAACUGUUUUUCUUGAGUACUGGAGAGGCAGACGGAAUGCCUAGUGUAGCGGUGAAAUGCGUAGAGAUUAGGAGGAACACCAGUGGCGAAGGCGGUCUGCUGGACAGCAACUGACGCUGAGGCGCGAAAGCGUGGGGAGCAAACAGGAUUAGAUACCCGAGUAGUC